GCUGCGCUGAACUGCGGUGCGCUGCCCGCGGUGGUUAGCGAGCUGAAGAGAGCAGCGGUACGGGCUGUCCUUCCUUUCGAGGCUGACCCUUCAAGCAAAGGAGGAGGCAGAACUUCUGGCGGGCGGCGGCCCCGAGCCCCAGGCAGAGGCAAUCUGUUGGCCCUCUUCUUGCACCUGGGAAAGCCAUCCCUGCAUCCCAGACAGGAGAGUGUCUGGAUAAUCUGUUUAAGGAGAGAACAGAACAAGUUUUGGAGGAAUGCUGAAGCCCUCUGGACUACUCCAAAGACUUCACAGAGAGGACUAGUCAUAACAGCCAGUACUUUCCAAGCUUGUAAGGGAAGCUGGGAGAAUGAAAUCAACUCUGGAUCAUCUCAUGAAUAACGUAUAUACCAUAUGAAUGAGUCACGGUUUCUGGAACUGUGAAAAUGGCUGCCAGAUUGCUCACCAAUGAAAUAGGAG
rnacentral:lncRNA from 1 species